rnacentral:lncRNA from 1 species
CAACCCCUUUGGAAACUAUUUGGCAUUACAUACUAAAGCUAAAUCUGUAUCUCUCUUAUGAUUCAGCAACACCCCUAGGUUUAUAUGUCCAAGAAGAGUAAAUAGAUACAUCCAAAAAACAUGUGCUUGUGUGAUCAUGGCAGUCUUCUCUGAAAACAAUCCUGAUGCCCGUCAACAGCAGAACAGGUCAACUGUGGACUAUUCGUACAAUGGGACCCUGCAUAACAGAAGGAGGAGGGGGAAAGAAGAGGAGGAGAGGAAGAAACACAUACAUGCAAAGGUGGGAUUCAACCCCAGGUGGGGUGACUCCAAAUGCUGUGCUUCUUAGAGGAAACAGGAUCUCCAGCUGGUGGGAAGGUCAUGAUCCCAGGAUACUUGGAUCGAGCCCCGCAUCGGGCUCCCAGCUCUGCAGGAAGCCUGCUUCUUCCUCUCCCACUCCCCCUGAUUGUGUUCCCUCUCUCACUGUGUGUGUGUGUGUGUGU